CUCGUUGUUCCUUUUUCCUAUGCAUAUACUUCUUUGAGAAUUUAAUCUAAAGAAGCAUAGGGCAUGGGAAAAUGGGGCGGCCGAGGU
rnacentral:pre_miRNA from 9 species